GUGACGAAGCGACGCCGCGUGGGUGAGGAAGGCCUUCGGGUUGUAAAGCCCUGUCAGGAGUUAAGAAAUGUAAGUGUGUUAAUACCACAUUUACUUGACGAAAGCUCCAAAGGAAGCCACGGCUAACUCUGUGCCAGCAGCCGCGGUAAUACAGAGGUGGCAAGCGUUGUUCGGAAUUAUUGGGCGUAAAGAGCACGUAGGUGGGCUUGUGUGUCAGACGUGAAAGCCUUCUGUUCAACGGAAGAAUUGCAUCUGAAACUGCAAGCCUUGAGUGUAGGAGGGGAGAAUGGAACUUCUGGUGGAGCGGUGAAAUGCGUAGAUAUCAGAAGGAACGCCGGCGGCGAAAGCGAUUCUCUGGCCUAUUACUGACACUCAGUGUGCGAAAGCUAGGGGAGCAAACGGGAUUAGAUACCCCGGUAGUCCUAGCCGUAAACGAU
rnacentral:rRNA from 1 species